rnacentral:sRNA from 1 species
GAAUGCAUUGGAUGGAUG